UUAUUGGGCCAACCCUUCUCUGUAGCAAAAGAGUGGGAAGAUUUUAAAGUAGAGGUGAUAUACCUAUCGAGCCUAGAGAUAGCUGGUUAUUCAAGAAAAGGAUUUCAGUCCACCUUUAAGUUUUUAUAAUAAAUAAAUUCCCAUAUAAUAAACGCAUAAAUACUAAAUAAACUUAAAAGCCACUCAAAUAAGGUACAGCCUAUUUGAAUUAGGAAACAGCCUCCAAUGUUGGGUAAUGACCCCCCCCCACCCAUGACCAAGUCGGCCUAAAAGCAGCCACCUUUCAAAAAGCGUCCAAGCUUUAUCAUAAACUAUUAUUAAUUCCACAACCAACACAUAACCCUCAACUGCUACUGAAUAAUCCCAUAAAUGUAUGAGAGCCAUCAUGCUAGAACUAGUAACAAGAAAAGAACCUCUCCAAAAAUGUAAACGCAAGCCAUAAUGAACCAUCACCGGCACCCACCGCCCAAGCUUAUAGUAUCAACACUCAAGAAAACCGUACUUUAAACAGCGUUAACCUUACACUAGAACAUUUCUGAGAAAGAUUAAAAGAGACGGAAGGAACUCGGCAAACAUUA
rnacentral:rRNA from 1 species